AUGGAGCCGCUCACCGACGCGCUGCGGGGCUUUGGCGCAGUGCUGGGGGGGCUCUCCAGCGGCGCCCGGGGCUCGGGAGCACCUUCUCAGAUCAUCUAUCUAUCCUCUCGGUUAUUUCUUCUCCCUCUUCUUCUUCUCCUGCUCCUCCUCUUUAUUAUUAUUAGUGGAGAAGAGCGUCAGUGGAGGUGCGCGCGACGCGGGGUCCCGUCUGCAGCCCCCCGCCGCCGUGCGCGUUCCGGCAAUCCUCGCGGAGCCGCUCCGCCCGACUGCAGAAGUGCAGCCCCCUGCAAUGCAACUUGGAACGCCGGAGCGCGAGACCGACGAAAACACAAAACGCCUCGGCAAGAAGAUCCGACCGACACGCUGCUCGCCCUCGGAACGCCAGCUAUUUCAUCAACGAUGUGAGGAAGACCAAGACCAGCCCUGUCCUGCAGGAACACUUAGUCGAGGGAUGAAGACGAUGGUCGGGCGCACGAGCUUCACCAAGAUGACGGUUCAUCGCCGUCACCUCGACCUCGAACCUCGACGCCCUCAUUUCCAGUCCGCUGGACCACUGAGAGCCCUUCUACGCUGUGUGACUCAUCGCUUCUGCAGACUUAGAGCACCUGCUGUGCGUGCAGCACUUCUCCAGGACCCAUACCACAGGACGAGAAUGUUGUCUCCAUGGAGGUGGCCAGCUGAGAGUACAGCAGCAAGAGCAGCUGAGAGUACAGCAGCAAGAGCUGAGAACUGGAGCAAUUGAAGCGGAGCUCCUCUCCACGGCUGACCUUCUGUGACCCCACCUCGACCUGCCCCCCGAGACCCAGGUGACACCGAUGCAUCCUGCUCCUCACCUUCCCUGAAUCUUCUGCCGUUGGUCCUGUAAAUCACGGGAACCCCAGGAAAUUGCAGCAAUGACGAGCCUCGAACACAAAGGUUUUAUAAAAACAUAUAUUUAUUGUUUUAUAACUAAUGGUUAACGUGUCCCACAGUUAGUGGCAAUGCGCCGAGAGAUAAACACAUGUACUGAAAGCCGGCUGGACUAUUCUGGGUGUUCAGUGGCUAUUACAACAAAACAGGCGUAACUACAGCAAAAUGUGCUGCUGACCACACUGAUGAUGUGCUGCGAAGGGUGCGUCUCCACAGCCUUUGUCCCCACAACGUUCAACUCCCUCGUCGUCUCCUUGCGGAGGGGAACACUCUGUCCACUUUCCAUGUGCAAAAGGUGUCCUUCCUGAGGGUAGCGGCCUCAGCGGGUUCCUUGCGUACGACUCCCGUCCCUCUGAAGUGCAUCCUCAGCGAGUCUGUUACCAACACAGUGGCGCAUUCCAGUCUGACCCGGCAGACCCGGUACCAGAGUACUCCUUACUGCAGGGUACUGUAAACAUAAACGCGCCCUCUCUCUGAGACGGCACGCGGCACUGGUGCGGAUCCCCAUACCUCUCGGCGCGUUAUCUGAACAGUAGCCACCUGGUGUCCUCUGGGCGACGCCCACCUCGACAUCUGGGCCCGGCAUCCUCUCGAACUUCAGCACGAGGACACGCUAGGUCACAGCUUAUCACUUUAUUACAUACAGGAACCUUCCCACUUGGUGUGGGACCCCAUCCACUUGCAUCGGUGACCGUGAAUGAGACCCCGGCACAGACACUUUCCUUCUGGUUCAGGAAAACGUGCAGAUUUGACAGCAGAAUGACUAGAUUACCUGCCUUGGGGCGGGGAUGGGGGGGGUGGUGGUGGUGGUGCAUGGUUAGGAAGUGGGCGGAGCUAGGUGGGGAAUGGGAGUGGUUUGGAGGAUGCCAGGGCUACUAAGUGGCAGGGAAGGCAGUGGUUUGGUGGGAGGAGUUUAUGUAGUAAGGAGAGGGGUGUGGCUUCUGUAAAGUGGGAGUGGUUUGACGUUUUUUCAGAACACUGCAAGGGGAUGGGAUCAGCAGCACAGUGGGAGUGGUUUGAGUGUUUUCAGGGCACUGUAAGGAAAGGGGUUGGAGUCAGCAGUGGAGUGGAAGUGGUUUGACUGGAGGAAUUCUCACGGCAGUGGUUACUGAGCGUCGAUCAGGAGCGCUCCCUUGAAGUGGUUCACUAGUGACUCUUCCUCCGGAGGGCGCUCUAGUCAGAUUGCUGCCUUUCUGACGCUUAUGCCAACUCACACAUACCACAACCAGCAAAACAAAAACAGACAAACGAACAAACAAAACAUUUUGUUCGGGUCAUGGUGGACAGAGUUGCAUGUUCGUUUCCUCUGCUCCGCUCAGGAGCGUACCGGUGACCAAAAUGUGCAAACUCGCGCCCAUCCCCGACCGAGAACGAGCAGCGCCGACUGGUUACAGAAAUGAAAACGAUGCAAACCAGGGAGCUCCUGAUGGAGGCGCCCUGAGCUGCUCAUGUUUCACUCCUGGUCUUUCUGCAAAGUCCGAGCUACCUGCCAUCGAACAGGAACGCGUAGACUCUGCCACGUGUCCUCCUCACUUAUGUGCCAAAAAUCAAAGAAAAAACCAAAACAAUAAAACUGAACAUUGCAUAUUGUAAUAUUAAGUA
ensembl:lncRNA